rnacentral:rRNA from 1 species
GACGAACGCUGGCGGCGUGCUUAACACAUGCCAGUCGAACGGUAAGGCUCCAGCUUGCUGGGGUACACGAGUGGCGAACGGGUGAGUAACACGUGGGUGACCUGCCCUGCACUUCGGGAUAAGCCUGGGAAACUGGGUCUAAUACCGGAUAGGACCGCACCUUGAGGGUGUGGUGGAAAGUUUUUUCGGUGUGGGAUGGGCCCGCGGCCUAUCAGCUUGUUGGUGGGGUAAUGGCCUACCAAGGCGGCGACGGGUAGCCGGCCUGAGAGGGUGGACGGCCACAUUGGGACUGAGACACGGCCCAGACGCCUACGGGAGGCAGCAGUGGGGAAUAUUGCACAAUGGGCGGAAGCCUGAUGCAGCGACGCCGCGUGGGGGAUGACGGCCUUCGGGUUGUAAACUCCUUUCACCAUCGACGAAGGGUUUCUGACGGUAGAUGGAGAAGAAGCACCGGCUAACUACGUG